GACGAACGCUGGCGGCGUGCUUAACACAUGCAAGUCGAACGGAAAGGCCCUGCUUUUGUGGGGUGCUCGAGUGGCGAACGGGUGAGUAACACGUGAGUAACCUGCCCUUGACUUUGGGAUAACUUCAGGAAACUGGGGCUAAUACCGGAUAGGAGCUCCUGCUGCAUGGUGGGGGUUGGAAAGUUUCGGCGGUUGGGGAUGGACUCGCGGCUUAUCAGCUUGUUGGUGGGGUAGUGGCUUACCAAGGCUUUGACGGGUAGCCGGCCUGAGAGGGUGACCGGCCACAUUGGGCCUGAGAUACGGCCCAGACUCCUACGGGAGGCAGCAGUGGGGAAUAUUGCACAAUGGGCAGAAGCCUGAUGCAGCAACGCCGCGUGCGGGAUGACGGCCUUCGGGUUGUAAACCGCUUUCGCCUGUGACGAAGCGUGAGUGACGGUAAUGGGUAAAGAAGCACCGGCUAACUACGUG
rnacentral:rRNA from 1 species